UUAAACAUGUCCUAGACCAAUCCUUU
rnacentral:piRNA from 1 species